rnacentral:rRNA from 1 species
AGCCGGGGGAUGACGGUACCGGAAGAAUAAGCACCGGCUAACUACGUGCCAGCAGCCGCGGUAAUACGUAGGGUGCGAGCGUUAAUCGGAAUUACUGGGCGUAAAGCGUGCGCAGGCGGUUUGCUAAGACCGAUGUGAAAUCCCCGGGCUCAACCUGGGAACUGCAUUGGUGACUGGCAGGCUAGAGUAUGGCAGAGGGGGGUAGAAUUCCACGUGUAGCAGUGAAAUGCGUAGAGAUGUGGAGGAAUACCGAUGGCGAAGGCAGCCCCCUGGGCCAAUACUGACGCUCAUGCACGAAAGCGUGGGGAGCAAACAGGAUUAAAUACCCUGGUAGUCCACGCCCUAAACGAUGUCAACUAGUUGUUGGGGAUUCAUUUCCUUAGUAACGUAGCUAACGCGUGAAGUUGACCGCCUGGGGAGUACGGUCGCAAGAUUAAAACUCAAAGGAAUUGACGGGGACCCGCACAAGCGGUGGAUGAUGUGGAUUAAUUCGAUGCAACGCGAAAAACCUUACCUACCCUUGACAUGGUCGGAAUCCUGCUGAGAGGCGGGAGUGCUCGAAAGAGAACCGGCGCACAGGUGCUGCAUGGCUGUCGUCAGCUCGUGUCGUGAGAUGUUGGGUUAAGUCCCGCAACGAGCGCAACCCUUGUCCUUAGUUGCUACGCAAGAGCACUCUAAGGAGACUGCCGGUGACAAACCGGAGGAAGGUGGGGAUGACGU